GAAUCUAGCCUCCCCUGCGUUAGCCUACAGUAGAUUAGGCAGACCUAGUUGGCCAAGGUUGACAUUACAAGCUCUUACACUUCACGACCCGUACAAUUGCCUUCUCAAAAACCUUUUGAACUCAGCGGUACAAGGUUUGUGAGGUGAGGUGUGUGUUUGUGUGUGGUUUGCUGAUAACACUUUUCAAUCCUGUGACAGAAACAUCUCAGAGAAGAAGACGCGACAGCAGUUCAGACGGAAUUGCAGCAGUCUGCAAUAAUACACGGCACGAGGAAGAAAGGAGAAGAGAGGAGGAAGAAAAGAGAAAGCUAGUGUCACAGACCAAAGUUAGUGCCACACAUCAACAGGCUGAGGCAAAGAUCUUUAAAAAGCUAAGGCAAACCUGUCAAAGAGCUGAAGACUGGAGUAAACCUCAAAGACCUGAAGACGAGUAAACCCCAGAGAGCUGAAGACGAGUAAACCCCAGAGAGCUGAAGACGAGUAAACCCCAGAGAGCUGAAGACGAGUAAACCCCAGAGAGCUGAAGACGAGUAAACCUCAGAGAGCUGAAGACGAGUAAACCCCAGAGAGCUGAAGACGAGUAAACCUCAGAGAGCUGAAGACGAAUAAACCUCAGAGUAUGGGGCUCAUAAUUCUGCAUACAGUACUAUGGCGUUAUUCUUUCGUUUGCAGCGUUUUCACUGUUAUGCCUUGUCAGGUAUUUUUUUAUUAUUCGUCUUUUAGUAUCCUCUGCAAUCAGAAGUACCAUUUUUCUUUGUAUUAGAAACUGUAAUGAAAGAUUGAGGACCUGGAUCCCGACAAAAUAAAUGGUAAAAAUAGGAAGAAAAAAAUAUCUUAUUUGCAGAAAUAUAUUAAUCUGAACGCCUACAUGCUAAUGCAUUUUUCUUAGUGAAGCUUAUAUGUUGUUCUGGGAUGAGCUUGUUGACUCUGAUAAACAAUUACAGGAGAAAGAUAUUUCAGAUUGCCAAUGUGGUUCUGUAAUAAAAAACUAAUAAAGAACUCUCCACUGCAUGACAUUUCAAUCGCCCUGGCAUGCUAGGGUCCAUAGGGCUUGGUCAGGACGAGCCUGUUCUAGGUCAUAUAACAUGCACCCUCUUGCUGCUGCUCUGAAGAGAAAUACAGAGCCAACAGAUGAUUUUGAACUUUGAAAAUCAAUACACCCAGAUCUUUACUGCAAUUGUAAAAAAAUAAUAAUAAUAAUUUUCUUAAAAAUAUUGUCUGUCUUUGAGAACCAAAUAACAUUGUCUUCUAGCCAGGAAUGAAAUAUAAUUAUUCCAUUCAAAGCCUGUGUUACACUUUUGUUUUAAAAAUAAGUUUAUGAAUGUUCCAAGAAGUGUUUUAUAAAUGCUUUCUGUGACUAAUAUUGUCCUAACUCUAAUUGGGUCAGAGGUCCUGUACAUGAUGAGGAGUGAGAGAACGCUCUUUAUUGGACAUGCUCAGUUACAUGCUCAGUUAACAGAACAGAGCAGGUGAUUCUGAUGAGGAAGGGGAGCUUCACAUUAGCAGCAGUGGGACAGCAGGUCAAGGCUUGAUGGCUGAGUGCAGCCUGAAAAUACUCUGGGUUAAUUGAAACCUUUGGAACAUUGAUUAAACAAGACAAGAGUAGCAUUAUUUGAAACACUGAGUGUAAUGCACAUCAAUUAUACAUUAAAGAGAACAUAAAAACUA